UACGGAGGAGGCAAGCGUUAUCCGGAAUUAUUGGGCGUAAAGCGUCCGCAGGUGGCACCUCAAGUCUGCUGUCAAAGACCGGGGCUUAACCCCAGAAAGGCAGUGGAAACUGAAGUGCUAGAGCGCAGUAGGGGUAGAGGGAAUUCCCGGUGUAGCGGUGAAAUGCGUAGAGAUCGGGAAGAACAUCGGUGGCGAAAGCGCUCUGCUGGACUGCAACUGACACUCAGGGACGAAAGCUAGGGGAGCGAAUGGG
rnacentral:rRNA from 1 species